rnacentral:lncRNA from 1 species
GUACACGCAAAUCGAGGUGAGUAAAAAGGAGGCUUCAAAGGCCUCUAAGCAAAGAAUUUACUCGUAAAUCAAGUGAUGACCCAAGGUCAUCACAUCUUCUUGGCCUGCGCCAAGGACUUCUCCUUUAUACCUAGGAGCUGGACUUCAGCCGAAGCUAGUUUGGCCCAGAUGGUCUCCUUUUCUGAGGCCAUGUUGUCCAUGUUCUUUUUCUAUUCUUUGGUCUCAACCUUUACCGCAUCUACCUAUUCCCGAUUUGCCCGAUCUUGUCGACCUUCUAUUGGACCUACGGGUCGGGCCUUUAGUCAUCAUGUCCAAUUCAUCGUCACUAACCUCAUAAAUUCUUCUUACCUUCUCAGCCAGGUCUGCAUGCUCUUUCCGAGCCACCUCUAACUCAGCCCGGAGGCCCUUAGCUUCCCUUUUCUUUGCUCACAGAGAAGUUUAUAAGCAUCUCUUUUCUCAGUGAGCCCUUGGAUCUCGGCCUCGUACAAGUUCAUCUCUUCCCGAUAUCGGAGGAACAUCUUAUAGUGGAGUACCAAAUCGUACAAACAUAAUAACCCCAUUUUAUGUCUGUUGGGAUUAGUUGAACAAAUAAGGCACUUAGACCUCAUUUAUCUUUGUCCGAUCCUCCUUGGUCACCAAGUGUCGCGCCCUUUUCUUCUUGCGAAAUCGGGUUUAUAAAAUUUGGGUGGACAACUCAUUAUCUU